rnacentral:tRNA from 1 species
AUCGCGCAGGAGGUCGGGGGCGACCUCGUCGAGGUCACGUCGAUCGUGACGAACGAGUCGCAGGAUCCGCACUCGUUCGAGCCGAGCGCGCGCGACCA